rnacentral:rRNA from 1 species
GACGAACGCUGGCGGCGUGCUUAACACAUGCAAGUCGAACGAUGAAGCCCAGCUUGCUGGGUGGAUUAGUGGCGAACGGGUGAGUAACACGUGGGCAACCUGCCCCAAACUCUGGGAUAACUCCUCGAAAGAGGUGCUAAUACCGGAUACGAACUAGGUAGACAUCUGCACUAGUUGGAAAGUUUUUCGGUUUGGGAUGGGCCCGCGGCCUAUCAGCUUGUUGGUGAGGUAACGGCUCACCAAGGCUACGACGGGUAACCGGCCUGAGAGGGGGGCCGGUCACACUGGGACUGAGACACGGCCCAGACUCCUACGGGAGGCAGCAGUGGGGAAUAUUGCGCAAUGGGCGAAGGCCUGACGCAGCGACGCCGCGUGAGGGAUGAAGGUCUUCGGAUCGUAAACCUCUUUCAGUAGGGACGAAGCGAAAGUGACGGUACCUAAAGAAGAAGCACCGGCUAACUACGUGCCAGCCGCCGCCGUAA